rnacentral:misc_RNA from 1 species
GAGAAAAACCUAUGGCAACAUUCACUUUGGAGAGUCUACCCUUCCUCGUUUCCCUUGUUCUUUUCUUUCUGUUGCAUAUUUUGUUGCACGUUGCUUCUGACUCUGCUGAAGAGGCAAAUUCUCUCAUCAAAUGGGCAGCCACUCUUCAAAACCAACAGCGCAACCUAUCUUCAUGGCCGCUACUUCCUGCAAAUGCCACCAAUUCCAAGCCAAAAACAAGCCCAUGCACUUGGCUUGGAAUUUAUUGUAACCGUGGAGGAAGGGUUGUUGGAUUAAACCUGACCAAUGCAGGUUUAAAUG